rnacentral:rRNA from 1 species
GACAGAGGGGGCAAGCGUUGUCCGGAGUUACUGGGCGUAAAGGGCUCGGAGGCGGUCUGCGGCGUCGGCGCUGAAAGCGCCCCGCUUAACGGGGCGAGGCGUGCCGAUACGCGCAGACUUGAGGCGAGCAGAGGGUGGUGGAAUUCCGGGUGGAGCGGUGAAAUGCGUAGAGAUCCGGAGGAACGCCAGUGGGGAAGCCGGCCACCUGGGCUCGUCCUAACGCUGCGGCGCGACCGCGUGGGGAGCAAACCGG